UACGGAGGGGGCUAGCGUUGUUCGGAAUUACUGGGCGUAAAGCGCGCGUAGGCGGCAUAGCAAGUUGGGGGUGAAAGCCCGGAGCUCAACUCCGGAACUGCCUUCAAAACUGCUAAGCUAGAGUUCGGAAGAGGAGAGUGGAAUACCCAGUGUAGAGGUGGAAUUCGUAGAUAUUGGGUAGAACACCAGUGGCGAAGGCGACUCUCUGGUCCGAUACUGACGCUGAGGUGCGAAAGCGUGGGGAGCAAACAGG
rnacentral:rRNA from 1 species